UACGAAGGGGGCUAGCGUUGCUCGGAAUUACUGGGCGUAAAGCGCACGUAGACGGUUUCUUAAGUCGGGGGUGAAAUCCUGGAGCUCAACUCCAGAACUGCCUUCGAUACUGGGAGACUUGAGUUCGGGAGAGGUGAGUGGAACUGCGAGUGUAGAGGUGAAAUUCGUAGAUAUUCGCAAGAACACCAGUGGCGAAGGCGGCUCACUGGCCCGAUACUGACGCUGAGGUGCGAAAGCGUGGGGAGCAAACAGG
rnacentral:rRNA from 1 species